CUCGUUCCCCCCUCCCCUCCGGAAUUCUGAGAAGUAAUUUGCAAAUUCGGGUGGCACUAAAAAAAAGGGGGAAAGAAGGGGAAUAUAUCAGUUUUUAAGGUUGGGGAAAAUGGGAAUGCAUUGUAUAUGCAAUAGCCUUGGAGAAAAUAGAAGUAUAGAUAGAUAUAUUUGCAAAAAAUAAUAGAUAUGGAUAAAUAGAAGGGAAUGCAAUAGGUUGGUGCAAUUUUGCAAUUUUUUUAAAAAAAUAUAUUUUGUUGUGUUGUGUUGUGUUGUGUUGGUGGAUUGACACAGCAAAGAAGCUCAAAGGCAAUCUGGAUGAAUAAUCUGCAAGGAGAAAUAGAAGGGAAUGCAAAAGGGAAAACCAGCUGAUCCCCAACCCAAAUUUCAUCUAUGCUGAUGAUCGUGCCAUCACCGCUCAAGCAGGGAGCUUUGAUAUGGUAGAACAGAAGCUCUCCGAAGCACUAGGUGCUCUUACUGCCUAUUACAGGGAAAACCAGCUGAUCCCUAACUCAUCUAAAACACAGACAUUCACCUUAAGAACAGACAAGCAUCCCGAGCUCUGAGGAUCACCUGGGAAGGAAUCCCACUGGAGCAUUACAGCGCACCCAAAUACCUGGGAGUCACUCUGGACUGUGCUCUGACCUACAAGAAGCACUGCCUGAACAUCAAGCAAAAAGUGGGUGCUAGAAACAAUAUCAUACGAAA